GUCUACGGCCAUGCUACCCUGAACAAACCCGAUCCCGUCUGAUCUCAGAAACUAAGCAGAGUUGGGCCUGGUUAGUACUUGGACAGGAGACCAUCUAGGAAGACCAGGUGCUAUAGGCG
rnacentral:rRNA from 1 species